rnacentral:lncRNA from 1 species
AAACGCCUUUUAUACUGUCGUGUAAAGAGUCCAUUAUUAGAGUUACGUCAGUGGGGUUACGUGUCAUGCACCUAUAAAAGAGUGAACCGAGAUUUUCUGAAGUACCGCCACUAAGCGGAUUGGUUAACAGGUGUCCAAUGUAUUUGGGGACAUUACCCCCUAAAACACCUAGUUUCAACACCAUGUGUUGAACUCUGAAGAAAAACACAGUUCUAUACCAUUUGUUCUCAAAAUCUCCAAAUCUUUGUCCACGUCCAAAGUCUUCACAUACUCAGACCAUCUCAGUCAAGUACGGGAUCUCUGCCAUCUGCCAUCUUCCAUACAGUCCAAUCAAACCUGUAACGAUCAAACUAAAAAACCAAAAAAAAAUUGGAAAUGUAAAUUAGCAGUCUCCAUUUGUCACAAAAUAAGCUAAGCUUCAAAAGAAGGAACGAAUUGAAAGCAGGGGAGUAAGUAGGGGGCACCAUUAUCAUGUUUCCUUAUUGUAUUUGCAAACAUUAAACCAUUAUUUCCUUUUUAUAUAAAGAAAAUCAUUUUCUUGGCUUCAACAUAAUUUGCAUGAUUCUCAUAACAGCAAAUAAAUAUCUAUAUAUUUCUCGAAUAUAAGUAAUAAAAGAUAAUGGAAAACGAUUCAAGAUCUGAAAUUACCUCUGUGGGAAAGCACUCUCCAUGGUCAAUAGGAAUCAACUUGCCUUCUUUGUUAAGUAUGUUGUCCUGGUUUCUGUCUGUGUUGCCAUAUAGGCCUAAUCCCGCUAAGCCGAUAAAUAUUUGAGUCCAGUCCGGUUCGGAAAUAUUU